AUUGAACGCUGGCGGCAGGCCUAACACAUGCAAGUCGAACGAGUGGCGGACGGGUGAGUAAUGUCUGAGAAACUGCCUGUUGGAGGGGGAUAACUACUGGAAACGGUAGCUAAUACCGCAUACCAUCAGAUGUGCCCUGAUGGGAUUAGCUAGUAGGUGGGGUAAUGGGUAACCUAGGCGUCGAUCCCUACCUGUUCUGAGAGGAUGACCAGCCACCCUGGAACUUAGACACGGUCCAGACUCCUACGGGAGGCAGCAGUGGGGAAUAUUGCACAAUGGGCGCAAGCCUGAUGCAGCCAUGCCGCGUGUGUGAAGAAGGCCUUCGGGUUGUAAAGCACUUUCAGCGAGGAGGCGUUACUCGCAGAAGAAGCACCGGCUAACUCCGAGCCAGCCGCCGCGGUAAUUC
rnacentral:rRNA from 1 species